AGAGAGAGACAUGCGCGCAUAUCAAUAAGCGGAGGAAAAGAAACUAACAAGGAUUCCCCUAGUAACGGCGAGUGAAGCGGGAAGAGCUCAAAUUUGAAAUCUUAAAGGGUUUCCCUUUACGAAUUGUAGUUUAAAGAAGUGUUUUCUGUUGAGGUUUUGGUAAAAGUUCUUUGGAAUAGGACAUCAUAGAGGGUGAGAAUCCCGUAUUUGACCUUUACUUUCAACUUUGUGAUACACUUUCAAAGAGUCGGAUUGUUUGGGAAUGCAGUCCAAAAUGGGUGGUAAAUUUCAUCUAAAGCUAAAUAUUGGCGAGAGACCGAUAGCGAACAAGUACCGUGAGGGAAAGAUGAAAAGAACUUUGAAAAGAGAGUUAAACAGUACGUGAAAUUGUCAAAAGGGAAGCGUUUGACACCAGUGUUGUUUUUCUGAAAAUCAAUUAAAGAACUGUUUAUGCUAAGUUGUUUAGACUUUAUCAGCUAACUGUUUAGUUUUGAGCUUUUCUUUAAUGCACUUUUCAGUUAACAAGUCAACAUCAAUUUCUUUUGCUGUAAAAAAGCUUGAGGAAGGUGGCUUGAGAUUCGUCUUAAGUGUUUAUAGCCUCCUUGCCUAUGCAGUCGGAGAGAUUGAGGUCUGCAGCGUAGAUCCUUCGGGGCUAAAUGCAUUUGUGCUAAGUUAUAGCAUUUUAUAGACAACUUGUUGACUAUGAUUUGUCUUGUAGCUUACUCGCUUAUGUUAUUUUACCUACGCUUAGGAUGUUGAGCGCAUGUCUCUCUCU
rnacentral:rRNA from 1 species